UACGGAGGGUGCAAGCGUUAUCCGGAUUCACUGGGUUUAAAGGGUGCGUAGGUGGGCAGGUAAGUCAGUGGUGAAAUCUCCGAGCUUAACUCGGAAACUGCCGUUGAUACUAUUUGUCUUGAAUAUUGUGGAGGUAAGCGGAAUAUGUCAUGUAGCGGUGAAAUGCUUAGAUAUGACAUAGAACACCCAUUGCGAAGGCAGCUUACUACACAACGAUUGACGCUGAGGCACGAAAGCGUGGGGAUCAAACAGG
rnacentral:rRNA from 1 species